CAGAGGACCGCCUCGCUGGCCUACUGUCUCCGCCCCCACGGCGCCGGAAUCCCAGCUCCACUUACCAGGCCGCGGCUACCCCGUCGCCCCCGCCACUCCCGCCACCCCGCUCUCCCAGGCUCUUCAGGAUCCAAGUUUGUAGGCCCUUUAAGGGGUCUAGUUGCCCUUUGCGGGGCCCUGGGACUUUGGUCCCAGACAGGGGGGAUCCGGAUGGCUUCCGUGCGGAUCCGAGAGGCCAAGGAGGGAGACUGUGGGGAUAUCCUGAGGUUGAUUCGGGUGAAGACUGUGGGCCGGAAACCAGGGGGUCAGAGUGGCGCGGCCAGGACGGGGACGCAGGAGGCGGGGGCAGGGGAGGGGCUCGCCUUGGGACCCCGCUCGGGGAGCAGCGGGGCCCUUCUGCUCUAAUCUAGCUUCCGUACCCACGCCUUAGGAACUAGCCGAGUUCGAAAAACUCUCGGAUCAGGUGAAGAUCAGUGAGGAAGGUGGGGGCUCAGCGCCCAGGUUCUGGCGGAGGCUGGGGAGGAAAUAAGGGAUGGGUUCCCCAGGCGACAGCUCCAGGCUGGGCAUACACCCAGGUCCUCUUUCUCUAUCUCUUUGUUACAACUCCAAUCUCGGCAGCCCUGAGAGCAGAUGGCUUUGGAGAGAAUCCUUUCUAUCACUGUUUGGUAGCAGAGAUUCUUCCAGCGCCCGGGGAGCUACUGGGGCCCUGCGUGGUGGGCUAUGGGAUAUACUAUUUCAUCUACAGUACAUGGAAGGGACGCACCAUUUAUCUGGAGGAUAUCUAUGUGAUGCCGGAAUAUC
rnacentral:sRNA from 1 species